AUUGAACGCUGGCGGCAGGCCUAACACAUGCAAGUAGAACGAGUGGCGGACGGGUGAGUAAUGUCUGGGAAACUGCCUGUUGGAGGGGGAUAACUACUGGAAAAGGUAGCUAAUACCGCAUACCAUCAGAUGUGCCCAGAUGGGAUUAGCUAGUUGGUGGGGUAAAGGCUCACCAAGGCGAAGAUCCCUAGCUGUUCUGAGAGGAAGACCAGCACAACUGGAACUGAGACACGGGCCAGACUCCUACGGGAGGCAGCAGUGGGAAAUAUUGCACAAUGGGCGCAAGCCUGAUGCAGCCAUGCCGGGUGUAUGAAGAAGGCCUUCGGGUUGUAAAGUACUUUCAGCGGGGAGGCGUUACCCGCAGAAGAAGCACCGGCUAACUCCGUGCCAGCAGCCGCGGUAAUUC
rnacentral:rRNA from 1 species